rnacentral:rRNA from 1 species
AGCAGUCGCCGCGGGAAUACGGAGGGUGCAAGCGUUAAUCGGAAUUACUGGGCGUAAAGCGCACGCAGGCGGUUUGUUAAGUCAGAUGUGAAAUCCCCGAGCUUAACUUGGGAACUGCAUUUGAAACUGGCAAGCUAGAGUCUUGUAGAGGGGGGUAGAAUUCCAGGUGUAGCGGUGAAAUGCGUAGAGAUCUGGAGGAAUACCGGUGGCGAAGGCGGCCCCCUGGACAAAGACUGACGCUCAGGUGCGAAAGCGUGGGGAGCAAACAGGAUUAGAUACCCCGGUAGUCCCUGUCUCUUAUAC